GAUGAACGCUAGCGGCAGGCUUAAUACAUGCAAGUCGAGGGGCAGCAUGAUUGUAGCAGUACAAUUGAUGGCGACCGGCAAACGGGUGCGGAACACGUACACAACCUUCCAAUAAGUGGGGAAUAGCCCAGAGAAAUUUGGAUUAAUACCCCGUAACAUAACGAUGUGGCAUCACAUUGUUAUUAUAGAUUUUUCGCUUAUUGAUGGGUGUGCGGCUGAUUAGAUAGUUGGCGGGGUAACGGCCCACCAAGUCUACGAUCAGUAGCUGAUGUGAGAGCAUGAUCAGCCACACGGGCACUGAGACACGGGCCCGACUCCUACGGGAGGCAGCAGUAAGGAAUAUUGGACAAUGGACGCAAGUCUGAUCCAGCCAUGCCGCGUGAAGGAUUAAGGUCCUCUGGAUUGUAAACUUCUUUUAUAAGGGACGAAAAAAGGCUUUUCUAAGUCGUCUGACGGUACCUUAUGAAUAAGCACCGGCUAACUCCGUGCCAGCCGCCGCGGUAAUAC
rnacentral:rRNA from 1 species